AACGAACGCUGGCGGCAUGCCUAACACAUGCAAGUCGAACGAGACCUUCGGGUCUAGUGGCGCACGGGUGCGUAACGCGUGGGAACCUGCCCUUAGGUUCGGAAUAACCCCCCGAAAGGGGUGCUAAUACCGGAUAAUGUCUUCGGACCAAAGAUUUAUCGCCUUUGGAUGGGCCCGCGUUGGAUUAGCUAGUUGGUAGGGUAAAAGCCUACCAAGGCGACGAUCCAUAGCUGGUCUGAGAGGAUGAUCAGCCACACUGGGACUGAGACACGGCCCAGACUCCUACGGGAGGCAGCAGUGGGGAAUAUUGGACAAUGGGCGAAAGCCUGAUCCAGCAAUGCCGCGUGAGUGAUGAAGGCCUUAGGGUUGUAAAGCUCUUUUACCCGGGAUGAUAAUGACAGUACCGGGAGAAUAAGCUCCGGCUAACUCCGUA
rnacentral:rRNA from 1 species